rnacentral:rRNA from 1 species
AGAGCGAACGCUGGCGGCAUGCUUAACACAUGCAAGUCGCACGGUCAGCAAUGGCAGUGGCGGACGGGUGAGUAACGCGUAGGAAUUUAUCUAGUGGUGGGGGACAACCGUGGGAAACUACGGCUAAUACCGCAUGAAGCCUGAGGGCCAAAGGUCGCAAGACCGCCAUCUGAGGAGCCUGCGUCUGAUUAGCUAGUUGGUGGGGUAAAGCCUACCAAGGCUGCGAUCAGUAGCUGGUCUGAGAGGAUGAUCAGCCACAUUGGGACUGAGACACGGCCCAAACUCCUACGGGAGGCAGCAGUGGGGAAUAUUGGACAAUGGGCGCAAGCCUGAUCCAGCAAUGCCGCGUGUGUGAAGAAGGUCUUCGGAUUGUAAAGCACUUUUGGCAGGGACGAUGAUGACGGUACCUGCAGAAUAAGCCCGGCUAACUUCGUGCCAGCAGCCGC